rnacentral:rRNA from 1 species
GACAGAGGUCCCGAGCGUUAGGCGAAAUCACUGGGCUUAAAGCGUGUGUAGGCGGAUUUGUAAGUACCUUGUGAAAUCCCACGGCUUAACCGUGGAACGGCUGGGUAUACUGCGAAUCUUGGGCCAUCUAGGGGCUAGCGGAACAAACGGUGGAGCGGUGAAAUGCGUAGAUAUCGUUUGGAACGCCAAUGGUGAAAACAGCUAGCUGGGGAUGUGCCGACGCUGAGACACGAAAGCUAGGGGAGCGAACGGG